CCGUGUUUCGAGUUACUCCGGAACACAGUGUUUAUUCUGUGUUUAGUCACGCCGCGUCAAAAAUGUUCCACAGGGUUACUUCCGGUUUAUCGUUGUUUACCUUUGUUUACCAACAGUCGACACUUCGUGUAUUAGGCCUAGGCUUAAUUUUGUCGAUCAUCAUGAAAUUGAAAUACACAUUUAAUAGUUUGGGGUGUAUGCGGUACAUAUUUGUUUAUGAGCGUUUGAUAAGCUACUAUUGAUCUACGAAAUACAACGAAAGACUUCGUCAAGAACAGAAGACGAUGUCGUGUAACUCACACAAGGCCCGGCCCAGCUGUCUAGUAACCGGAGGAGUAAAGGAAAAGAACGUAUUAGACUCACUGAAACCUGUCAAACUGGUUAAUGGGAACAGGAUAAUUUUCCAUGCCUUUCACUUGAGGUCUUCAGUUUCAUCAUUAAUCAUCUGAAUGUCGGUAUGCCAAACUCUCAUGAUGUCAUGCCAUUACUGGAUAUUCCUUAACACUGGUUUAUUUAAACCACACUACCUAUAACAUUGCCAAAUAUUAGACUGAAAAUUUUCAAAUACACAAGAUUUGAAGCAGCAAAAGAAAAGAAUUACAUAUGUAUAACACACAAAAAAGAAGAAAUUAAUUCUCACCUGGCUGAUAUGAACUUUUUACUCCUUUUUAGCUCCCUUUCACUGCAUACCAGCCAAUAACUAGCAGUCAUUAUAUGCAGAUCAGCCAUUGUUAUCAACCUGUGUAUAUAUAUGUUGAAUAAAAUAUGAAUGAAAA